rnacentral:rRNA from 1 species
GGUUAAGCGACUAAGCGUACACGGUGGAUGCCUAGGCAGUCAGAGGCGAUGAAGGGCGUGCUAAUCUGCGAAAAGCGUCGGUAAGGUGAUAUGAACCGUUACAACCGACGAUACCCGAAUGGGGAAACCCAGUGCAAUUCGUUGCACUAUUGCAUGGUGAAUACAUAGCCAUGCAAGGCGAACCGGGGGAACUGAAACAUCUAAGUACCCCGAGGAAAAGAAAUCAACCGAGAUUCCCCCAGUAGCGGCGAGCGAACGGGGAGGAGCCCAGAACCUGAAUCAGCAUAUGUGUUAGUGGAAGCGUCUGGAAAGUCGCACGGUACAGGGUGAUAGUCCCGUACACAAAAAUGCAUAUGUUGUGAGUUCGAUGAGUAGGGCGGGACACGUGACAUCCUGUCUGAAUAUGGGGGGACCAUCCUCCAAGGCUAAAUACUCCUGACUGACCGAUAGUGAACCAGUACCGUGAGGGAAAGGCGAAAAGAACCCCGGCGAGGGGAGUGAAAUAGAACCUGAAACCGUGUACGUACAAGCAGUGGGAGCACCUUCGUGGUGUGACUGCGUACCUUUUGUAUAAUGGGUCAGCGACUUAUAUUUUGUAGCAAGGUUAACCGAAUAGGGGAGCCGUAGGGAAACCGAGUCUUAACUGGGCGAAUAGUUGCAAGGUAUAGACCCGAAACCCGGUGAUCUAGCCAUGGGCAGGUUGAAGGUUGGGUAACACUAACUGGAGGACCGAACCGACUAAUGUUGAAAAAUUAGCGGAUGACUUGUGGCUGGGGGUGAAAGGCCAAUCAAACCGGGAGAUAGCUGGUUCUCCCCGAAAGCUAUUUAGGUAGCGCCUCGUGAACUCAUCUUCGGGGGUAGAGCACUGUUUCGGCUAGGGGGUCAUCCCGACUUACCAAACCGAUGCAAACUCCGAAUACCGAAGAAUGUUAUCACGGGAGACACACGGCGGGUGCUAACGUCCGUCGUGAAGAGGGAAACAACCCAGACCGCCAGCUAAGGUCCCAAAGUCAUGGUUAAGUGGGAAACGAUGUGGGAAGGCAUAGACAGCCAGGAUGUUGGCUUAGAAGCAGCCAUCAUUUAAAGAAAGCGUAAUAGCUCACUGGUCGAGUCGGCCUGCGCGGAAGAUGUAACGGGGCUAAACCAUG